UCUUCUAUUAUAAUAUUUAUAAUUGUAAAUAUUAUAGUAUAAUAUUUAUAUUAUAGGUGCACCUGCAUUUUCUUCCAAAUUACAGAUGCACCUUCAUUUUCUUCCUCUUUCUCCCUCAUUUUCCCCUUUUCCCUCUCCUUUCUCUGCUAUUUAUUCACCAUUUCCCUCUUCUUUAUCAGUGCAGCACCUCAGCAAAUCACCACCUGGUCACAAUGUUUACCCUCGUGGUCUUGGCAUAAAAGAGCUGAAAAUUUCCAGCAUGGCUAUUAUGAUUUAGAGUAUCACCCUGGUCCUCUCUCAUGGAUGAAUAGCUUCAAACUUGUGCCUUUCUGCUGCCUCAGUUUGCUGCACAGAGCAGGAAUUCAGCGUUGUGGGGAACUUCAUUCCUGCUUUUCCUCCCAAUUUGCACCUACAGCUCACAUCCAUCCCAUAUUUCACAAACUCUCCUGCAGAGGUGAAGCUCCUAAAGCACACCUCUGGGGCUGCAGCAUUCCCAGAGUGCCCAAAUCACACUGGACAACAACUCCAGAGCUUUUUCCUCCCAGCACCUCCUCACAGGAGCUUCUCUGCAGAGAUGGAGAGUCCUGCCCAAAGCACUCAGGCUAACACUGCAAAUAAACUCGUGUGUAAGGAGGAGGGAAAUGACUGACAGGGAAUUAAAGUAAAAUAUUUUCUGAUUAUUACCUGCCCUGAGUUCCCAAAAUCAAAGCAGAAAACACUUCCAUUCCAAAGUAGCUGUAAAGCUGCAUUAGUCCAAGAAAUCUGCUGUCUGAAUAGUUGUUUUCUCCUGGGGAUUUGUUGAAUUCACUGUGCUGAGUACAUUUUUAUUUGUUGGUAACUUUCCUCACAGUGUAGCUCUAUUUCAUUUUGGCCUCUAUCAAGUAUAACUUCUGACAGAGAAUCGGUGAAUAAAUGCUUGAAAUCUAAGUGAGAAGACAGGAAAAUCUGUAAUCUGAAGCAUUUUACCUUUACAAAUGAAAUGAUCUGACAGCCACUCACCUCAUACCUGGCCUGCCUGGCUAACUCCUAUAGCAACAAUAGUUUAUGAGCACAACUGCAUCAAUCUAAGCUGGAAAAAAAAAGGGAAGGAACUUUGGGCUCAGAGCCCGAGCACUGGGAUGAGAAUUCCCUCUUUCUCCCUAGGUCUUCAGUGGCAGGAUGAGUCCUGCACUGAACUCCCCAAUUCUGAUUCUCCUGGCUGAGAGUCCUGAUGCACUCCCCAGUUCUAAAAAAUCAAAGUUCAUUUUUCUCACUCUGACAGAGGGAGAAAGAGCUGAAAAAAAAAUCAGGCUAAGUGCAGAGCUGUCAUUCAUGAAAAUUCAGGGAAAGCUUAACUUAGAGAGGUGUUGUUCUUAGGGCCAAGAUUAGGAUUGUUGUUCCCUAAGCAAAUUCAUUCAUGAUUUGGCUUUCCUGAGCACUCCCUGCAGCCAUUUCAAAUGAUCUGACAGCCACUCACCUCAUACCUGGCCUGCCUGGCUAACUCCUAUGGCAGCAAUAUUUUAUGAGCACAACUGCGUCAAUCUAAGCUGGGGAAGGAACUUUGGGCUCAGGGCUUGAGCCCUGGAAUGAGAAUUCCCUCCUUUUUCCCUAGAUCUUCAGUGGCAGGAUGAGUCCUGCACCGAACUCCCCAAUUCUGAUUCUCCUGGCUGAGAGUCCUGCUGCACUCCCCAAUUCUAAAAAUUCAUUUUUCGCACUCUGACAGAGGCAGAAAGAGCUGAAAAACAAUUAGUGUAAAUGCAGAGCUGUCAUGAAUGCCAGGAAAAGACAUCACUGACAGCCUCAGAGAGCUGCUGUUCUCGGGGCCAGGAUUAAGAUUUUUGUUCCCUAAGCAAAUUCACUUCAUGGUUUGGCUCUCCUGAGCACUCCCUGCAGCUCUCCCAGCACCAUUCCCACCUCCAGGCUGCCCAGCCCAGGCAGGAACGAAACCCUGGGGGCUGCUCAGCCCCUGGGCAAGGAGAGCAAAGUGUGCCUGGGGAGCAGGGUCCUCUCUGCCAGUCGGAUUUGCAUCCAUCCAAACAUCCCAGCAGGAAUCCAGAGCUGCACCUCGGGAGUUCAGGUGAGAAUAAAGAAAGCUGUUACAUUCAGACCAUUAUUGUUCAUGCUGCUUUGUGAAUUUAUUUCUUUAAAUUUUCCACUUGUGCUCCUGCCGAGAGAGAUCUAUUAGACAGAAAGCAGCAAGAGUAAAUCUUUAUCAUUUUGUUUCAAACUAUAAAAUAAUUUACAUCACAUAUUUUACUUACUUUUGUCUUUUUUGUUUGUUUUUUUUUUGAAACCACAAACAUUCCAGCAUCACACUGUAGGAAUAAGAAUAACAAUAGAAAGCAUAACCUUUUGCAUAGUAUUAAAUGAACAGACAGAGUAAGUUCUUUAUUUACAAUUAUUGUCUAGAUAAAAAAAUUCAUAAAAACAGAUGAAUGAACAUAUAUUAAUAACCCCUAGUGGGAUGGAUUGCCAAUGUACCACUGUAUUGUUGUCCACAAAUCUCAUGCUGCUAAGUACAGUACGUAGAGAGCGAGCAUUUAUAUAUUGCAGGGAAUUUUAACAAACUGAUCAUUUUGGUUUUUGAUCCAUUGUUCCCAUCACAGAGAGGUCAAGCAAUAAAAGAAAGGAAUUGUGAUGCACGACUUGUAGUUGAAAGGUCAUAGCUAUUCUGCUUUAAAAAAAAAAAAAAAAGUCUAUCAUUUAUCAUAUACAUAAAGCACAGUCUCUGCUCACAAAAGCCCAAGUUUUCUAUGCAUCUCAGUUUAUAUAUGUUUUACUAUAUAUACACAGAAUGCAGUGUUCAUUUUCUUAUAACAGUUUUCAAGUCUGCGAAUGGUACCUUAGGGAGGGGUACUCCUACAGGAAAAAAUUCCAAAAUAAUUAAAAAAAAAAAAAACAAAACCCAAAAACGGAACCGAGAAAAAACAUGAAGAGUGUCGGGAAACAAAAAGGCAAACAGUCAGUGUGUUAAGAUGCUGAAAAGAAACUGUUCCAGUAUUAAUAGCUUCUGUAGAUGUUCAAGUCCAAAGCUAGAGGCUUCCCUGUAAAUACAGAUACCACUUUUGUCUUCUGGCCCCAGGGAGCCCAUGGGUGGUGGAGUCCCCACAACAGAGCACCUUCCUGCCUGGGCUGGGGCACGGCUGGGGCUGCUGCAGGUGCCACCGCUGCCCGGGCACCCUGCCUGCCCCUGGGGCUGGGCACCGGGCACAGCCAGCAGAGCUCCCAGCCCCGAGUCCCGCAGCUGGCAAGGGAAGCUGCUCAGAGCUUUACCUGGCUGAGGGUCCUGAUGCACCCUGAAAACAUCAGUCUGCAGUUUGGCCAUGAGUCUAAGCUUGGUUUGGAGAGUUCUGGCUUGGUUAAAAGCUGCUGGGACUGCAGAGAUGCACCACUGUUAUGGAGCCAACCAGAAAAAAACACCUUAACAACUCAACGGAUCGAGAUGGUUGGUUGGAGGGUGUUUUUGUUCCAACAACGCCUGGCAUAAUCGAUUGUGGAAUUCCAAAUGUCUUUUUGCACUGUACAGUUAUGGAAAAAAUCAUAUGCUGAAAAGUCUCCAAGCAAACUUUAUAUUAAAUACAAAAAUUAGUUAUGAAAAAUCUGUGAUCCACAAAGUGCUUAGCAUUCAAGUGGUUGACAUAGCAAUUGUAUAAGCUCAUAAUUUUUUACUUUUCUAGGGCUGUUACCAUCUUGAAAAAUGUUUUUCGCCUUCCAUUCUGCAGGUUUUCAAAGCAGCUUUCUUGGGAGAAAGCUGAAGGUAAAAUAAUGUUAUUACUGUGUUACUGCAGGAACACAAGCUUGAUUUAAAAAAAAUCACACAAAGCACAUCUCAAUACACAAUUAAUAAAGAUUUGUUCAGUCCUAAUAGUGCAGAAAUUAUAUUUUUCUUUUAAAAAGAAAUCAAUGCAACAACCUACAGUGAUUUUAAUCCAAAAUGCCAACAGCCCAUACUUUGCAAAUAAUAAGGAAAUAAAUGCCUAAAGUACUAAUUGAAAAGGAUUAACACAGUAUAUCACAAGAUUUUAACAUUUCUUUUA